AGCGGCCGCGGUAAUUCCAGCUCCAAUAGCGUAUAUUAAAGUUGUUGCAGUUAAAAAGCUCGUAGUUGAAUUUCGGGGUUAGUAGGUCGGUCAUGCCCCAGGUAUGCACUGGUCUCACUGAUUCCUCCUUCCUGAUGAGCCGUAAUGCCAUUAAUUUGGUGUUGCGGGGAAUCUGGACUGUUACUUUGAAAAAAUUAGAGUGUUUAAAGCAGGCUAACGCUUGAAUACAUUAGCAUGGAAUAAUGGAAUAGGACGUUCGAUCCUAUUUUGUUGGUUUCUAGGAUUGACGUAAUGAUUAAUAGGGAUAGUUGGGGGCAUUAGUAUUCAAUUGUCAGAGGUGAAAUUCUUGGAUUUAUUGAAGACUAACUACUGCGAAAGCAUUUGCCAAGGAUGUUUUCAUUAAUCAAGAACGAAAGUUAGGGGAUCGAAGACGAUCAGAUACCGUCGUAGUCUUAACCAUAAACUAUGCCGACUAGGGAUCGGAUGAUGUUAAUUUUUAAUGUACUCAUUCGGCGCCUUA
rnacentral:rRNA from 1 species